GGGAGGGAGCGCGGAGGAAGGGCCGCGGGGACGGGGGGGGGUGGCGGGGGGAGGGAGAAUACCUCAGGCGCUGCUCGCACCGCCGCCGCGCAGCCCCGCUCCCGCCCGCCGCCGCUGCCUGCCGGGAGCGGGGCGGGGCGGACCGGGCCGGCAUGGCGGCGGGGACGCACCGGAAACUGCGCAGCACCAGCGGCGGCAGCCGCCGGGCGGGCGGUGGCGCCGGGCGCGCUUGAGGCCAUCGGCCGCCCUGAGGCAACGGCCGGCGAGUAACGGCCGCGCAGUAACGGCCGGGCGCUGGGGAGCGCGGCGGCGAGGGCCGGGAGCGACGGCGCGGGGAGCCGAGGCGCGGAGGCCAGCAGGUGAGAACGGGGCCGGGGCCGCGCCGCCGGGCCCGGCAGGCCGGGUGACUCCCGGCGAGAGGGGCGGCCGCGGGCCGCGCCGAGCCAGCCCUUGGGCAGGCCACGGGGGUGCCUCUCGGGCGGGCUGCGGUGGGAGGGCUGCCUGACGGGUUCCGAAAUGCCGACUGAGUAUUUCAUGUCAGUAGCUGUGUGGUUAGGGCGGGCGUUACCUUUGUUCAUUAAAGCUGGUUGGAAGAGUGCUUCAUGAACCACAGAAUCAUUGAAUGGCUUGAGUUGGUAGGGAAGAUCAUCGAGUGUCCCUGGGCCGGGACACCUUCCACUAGAGCAGGUUGCUCAAAGCCCUGUCCAACCUGGCCAAAGGAUGGACUUGGUGAGGUACUAGUGCACCUGUUUAGAUAGGUAUAUCCCCCUUGCACAGUUUUCUUAUGUUCUGACAAUUAACUCUAUAAACACUUUUUUUCUUCUACAGUCUUUCCAUAGCACAUGGAUCACUCUGGAUGUGGAUUAAAAACUAAGGAGGCUGUUUAACCACAGGUUUAUCUGAAACAGUUGAGCACCUUUUGGUGUUGAAGGAAGGACAACCCCCAGCACAGCCCUGGCAACGAGCUAGCUGGCAACCCGCCCCUGUGCCCCCCGCUUCCACUGCCUGGGGCCAGGGGCUGAGGCUCUGCCUACACUAAGUCCCUUCCUGAAAUCUUGCAUCUCUUAGCUACAGCUAGAGUAAACCACACUAGCUUAGGCUACGUUUUUUCCCCACACUAACUCACAUUUUUUUUCCGAAGGACUGAAUGAUUUGUCAACAAGUUCCUGUCCCUUCUCAUACACCCAUAAAAGCAUUUAAUAUGAGGAGGCUUAAGAGAAGUCUGACUGCAGGAAAAACUUUUAGAACAGCAGAGUAUAACGCUGCAUGCAGGUUUAUUUUGCAACUUUAUCAGUUUUACCUUUAUAUACCUUAUUCUGUGUUAGUCUUCUUGCAGAGAAGACAUUUACACUGAAAGGGAGAUCUGCAAUUCUGGUUAGCUCUGACAGGCUGUGCGUAGAGAAAGUUACUUUGUGACAGCAAUGAUGUCUUAUUACUGAUGCACUUAAUGGGACACAUUUUGUGGCUACUAUUGUAAUUUUGGGGGAGGCAGCUGUGAUUUGAAUAUUUAUACUUAUAACUUCAAAUAAAGAAAAAACUUACAACUCUGAUUUCUUCUUG
ensembl:lncRNA